GUACACUCCUACGGGAGGCAGCAGUGGGGAAUAUUGGACAAUGGGCGCAAGCCUGAUCCAGCCAUGCCGCGUGAGUGAUGAAGGCCCUAGGGUUGUAAAGCUCUUUCACCGGUGAAGAUAAUGACGGUAACCGGAGAAGAAGCCCCGGCUAACUUCGUGCCAGCAGCCGCGGUAAUACGAAGGGGGCUAGCGUUGUUCGGAUUUACUGGGCGUAAAGCGCACGUAGGCGGACUAUUAAGUCAGGGGUGAAAUCCCGGGGCUCAACCCCGGAACUGCCUUUGAUACUGGUAGUCUUGAGUUCGAGAGAGGUGAGUGGAAUUCCGAGUGUAGAGGUGAAAUUCGUAGAUAUUCGGAGGAACACCAGUGGCGAAGGCGGCUCACUGGCUCGAUACUGACGCUGAGGUGCGAAAGCGUGGGGAGCAAACAGGAUUAGAAACCCUGGUAGUCCCAUGA
rnacentral:rRNA from 1 species